CCUACGGGAGGCAGCAGUGGGGAAUAUUGCACAAUGGGCGAAAGCCUGAUGCAGCGACGCCGCGUGAGGGAUGACGGCCUUCGGGUUGUAAACCUCUUUCAGCAGGGAAGAAGCGAGAGUGACGGUACCUGCAGAAGAAGCGCCGGCUAACUACGUGCCAGCAGCCGCGGUAAUACGUAGGGCGCAAGCGUUGUCCGGAAUUAUUGGGCGUAAAGAGCUCGUAGGCGGCUUGUUGCGUCGGUUGUGAAAGCCCGGGGCUUAACCCCGGGUCUGCAGUCGAUACGGGCAGGCUAGAGUGUGGUAGGGGAGAUCGGAAUUCCUGGUGUAGCGGUGAAAUGCGCAGAUAUCAGGAGGAACACCGGUGGCGAAGGCGGAUCUCUGGGCCAUUACUGACGCUGAGGAGCGAAAGCGUGGGGAGCGAACAGGAUUAGAUACCCUGGUAGUCCACGCGUAACGUAGGUACGUAGUGUUGGUCGACAUCACGUCGUCGGUGCGCNGCUACGACAUAGUUCCCGUCCGUGGGAGGUACGGCCGCGAGACGUAACUACAAUAGAGUAGACGGCGUGAGACGNGCCGAACGGACGACGACGAGGGAGUAGG
rnacentral:rRNA from 1 species